UACGGAGGGUGCAAGCGUUAUCCGGAUUUACUGGGUUUAAAGGGUGUGUAGGCGGGCUUUUAAGUCAGUGGUGAAAUCUCCGGGCUCAACCCGGGAACUGCCAUUGAUACUAUUAGUCUUGAAUUUUGUUGAGGUAGGCGGAAUAAGUCAUGUAGCGGUGAAAUGCAUAGAUAUGACUUAGAACACCAAUUGCGAAGGCAGCUUGCUAAACAAACAUUGACGCUGAGGCACGAAAGCGUGGGGAUCAAACAGG
rnacentral:rRNA from 1 species